AGUGAACGCUGGCGGUAGGCCUAACACAUGCAAGUCGAACGGCAGCACAGUAAGAGCUUGCUCUUACGGGUGGCGAGUGGCGGACGGGUGAGGAAUACAUCGGAAUCUACUUUUUCGUGGGGGAUAACGUAGGGAAACUUACGCUAAUACCGCAUACGACCUACGGGUGAAAGCAGGGGAUCUUCUGACCUUGCGCGAUUGAAUGAGCCGAUGUCGGAUUAGCUAGUUGGCGGGGUAAAGGCCCACCAAGGCGACGAUCCGUAGCUGGUCUGAGAGGAUGAUCAGCCACACUGGAACUGAGACACGGUCCAGACUCCUACGGGAGGCAGCAGUGGGGAAUAUUGGACAAUGGGCGCAAGCCUGAUCCAGCCAUACAGCGUGGGUGAAGAAGGCCUUCGGGUUGUAAAGCCCUUUUGUUGGGAAAGAAAAGCAGCAGGUUAAUACCCCGCUGUUCUGACGGUACCCAAAGAAUAAGCACCGGCUAACUUCGUG
rnacentral:rRNA from 1 species